UACUUCUAGUUGACCUCGGAUCAGGUAGGGAUACCCGCUGAACUUAANCA
rnacentral:rRNA from 1 species